GGGGCGUUAGCUCAGUGGAUAGAGCGACAGCCUCCUAAGAUGUAGGUCGCAGGUUCAGCUCCUGCUCGCCUCA
rnacentral:tRNA from 1 species